GAAGGGAUAGCUCAGCGGUAGAGUAUUCGAUUGCAGAUUGAAUGGUGCCCGGUUCAAACCCGGGAAUCUUCUUCA